UAAACCAUGGUGAGCUGAGCUGCUCUGCAAGUCUUGAAGUGAGUGCUGUAGCCCUUCCAUGCAUGGAGAAAGUUUGGAUAGAGGUUUUACCUAACACACAGCCUUUCCUCUGCUGGAGUUCAGCAUGGAGUUCUGGCCUAUAUGGAGUAAAAGUAAAUGUGUGAGUCGCUGCACCUCACAAGCUCAUCGGUGCCUACAGCUCUGUGGCUUCUUCAGUCUCCUCUGCCCCUCUCCUUCCCCACCCUCAACGCUCUCAACAUGAUGUGACACCAGGAAUCCUUUGGCAAAAUGCUACCACACCACAACCAGAACUUUUAGGCUCCUGUCCAGCUCACACAGUGCCCAUCCUCUGUGUAAACCGUUUUGUACAAGCUCUGUCCACCACAACACAAUUGGUGCUGGAAAAGUUCUGUCGUGGGUGUCAGCGCUUACAUUGGGAUCCCAUUGCUCUCGCUUGUCUGGGAUGGCGCACGUGGAUUGUGCUGACGGAGGGUGCUGGGCUGAGAGGGGCCUGAUAAGGCAGUGUGACCCUGACAUAGGUUGUCAGCAGCGCUGCCAUCGCCAGCGGGAGCAGGGGGAGGACUGAAAUUCUCCCGUUCAAUUGGGCGAAUUUGAUACCUUCUUGUUCUUGUGUCCUCGUGGCUCGGCCACUUGACAUUUCUAAACAUUCUCAAGCAAGUUCACUGGAAAACUAUCCCAUGUCAGAAGCUGGUGAUGUCAAGGCUAAUAACAGUCCUGGGGUCAAAUCCUUCUGAUCCUUCAGGCAAGGACCUCAAGAUUUGGCUCCAAGUCAACAACAAGGUCUGUCACGUCAAUGAUGGCUUAUUAUGAAUCCCAGCGCAAGCCUUUCCCAAACAAAGUGCUUUCCCUUGGUUUCCCAUGCAGGAAAAGGUUAGCAGUUUCCAAAGGCAGGUUCUCACUUCCUUGUGUGGAGUGGAGAGCAAAGCCAGUGAGCUUGGAACGGGCAACAGCACUUUGCCUUAGAGCAGGAGACAGGUAAAUCUUUAUCUGGGAAAUUCUCUUCCCAUUUGGAAUGGAACAAGAUUACUGUUUUCAUUUCUAGAGGUACUGGGAGUUUUUUUCUCUGUCUCUGCCCAUCGUUUGGAUGUGACAAUAUCACUGGGCUGCCUUUGUUAAUGUUACAAUGGAGCUCAGAAAGCCGAACGAGCAGUGCUGGGAACUGCACGGCUGGAUGUCGGGGAAGGAGAUAGCAGGGAUCGGACUGGCUCACACUCUGCUGCACUGAAAAAAGGAUUUGUAAAUUGACAUUCCCUCAGCUAUUACUUUAUAACCCCAGCACUGUGUUGAGAAUGAUGCCACUGGAAUGGUGUCCAAAAUGGUAAUUAUAACCACUUCCUAUUUUUAAUUUCUUCUUCAUAAGGGACACAGUGGUCAUCAUCUGAACGAUAACGAUUCUGCUCUGCCCUUCCAGAUGUCGGAACGUUAUAAAGCAUGGAUUAACAAACACUGAUGUCUCUCUGCAGACCUUCCUUGUGAACUGAAAGCUCUGGUGCUCCCCAGCUGACACACACACCCCACCAGGCUUGGCUGUGGAUCCAGAAGAGGGCAAUGGUGGCACAUCCUCACCGAGGCUCUGAGCACCAAACCCACCGAGGGCAGCCCCUGCAGGCAUGGAGCCAGCAGCCAGGCCACCCUGGCUAGUGGAUCUGCCUGUUCCUGGCUGGUUCGUGGCAAGCAGAUUGAAGUGGGAGGCAGCUUUCAGCUACUGUCUCAGCUUUUGUCCUGGUGCUGAAUGUGUUCUUUUCCCCACGUGUCACUUCCAGA